rnacentral:rRNA from 1 species
AAAUUGAAGAGUUUGAUCAUGGCUCAGAUUGAACGCUGGCGGCAGGCCUAACACAUGCAAGUCGAACGGUAACAGGAAGCAGCUUGCUGCUUCGCUGACGAGUGGCGGACGGGUGAGUAAUGUCUGGGAAACUGCCUGAUGGAGGGGGAUAACUACUGGAAACGGUGGCUAAUACCGCAUAACGUCGCAAGACCAAAGAGGGGGACCUUCGGGCCUCUUGCCAUCAGAUGUGCCCAGAUGGGAUUAGCUAGUUGGUGAGGUAAUGGCUCACCAAGGCGACGAUCCCUAGCUGGUCUGAGAGGAUGACCAGCCACACUGGAACUGAGACACGGUCCAGACUCCUACGGGAGGCAGCAGUGGGGAAUAUUGCACAAUGGGCGCAAGCCUGAUGCAGCCAUGCCGCGUGUAUGAAGAAGGCCUUCGGGUUGUAAAGUACUUUCAGCGGGGAGGAAGGUGUUGCGGUUAAUAACCGCAGCAAUUGACGUUACCCGCAGAAGAAGCACCGGCUAACUCCGUGCCAGCAGCCGCGGUAAUACGGAGGGUGCAAGCGUUAAUCGGAAUUACUGGGCGUAAAGCGCACGCAGGC